rnacentral:rRNA from 1 species
GAUGAACGCUGGCGGCGUGCCUAAUACAUGCAAGUCGAGCGAACAGACGAGGAGCUUGCUCCUCUGACGUUAGCGGCGGACGGGUGAGUAACACGUGGAUAACCUACCUAUAAGACUGGGAUAACUUCGGGAAACCGGAGCUAAUACCGGAUAAUAUAUUGAACCGCAUGGUUCAAUAGUGAAAGACGGUUUUGCUGUCACUUAUAGAUGGAUCCGCGCCGCAUUAGCUAGUUGGUAAGGUAACGGCUUACCAAGGCAACGAUGCGUAGCCGACCUGAGAGGGUGAACGGCCACACUGGAACUGAGACACGGUCCAGACUCCUACGGGAGGCAGCAGUAGGAAAUCUUACGCAAUGGGCGAAAGCCUGACGGAGCAACGCCGCGUGAGUGAUGAAGGUCUUCGGAUCGUAAAACUAUGUUAUUAGGGAAGAACAAAUGUGUAAGUACCUAUGCACGUCUUGACGGUACCUAAUCAGAAAGCCACGGCUAACUACGUG